rnacentral:lncRNA from 1 species
AGUUUAGUGGGAGAUGUGGGUACUGAGGAAUGCUCAUGAAAAAUCAGUGCGUUUUCAGCAUCAUAAGGACAGACCUCUCCAGAGCAGGUUUUCAACAAAGUAACUCAGCGGACAUUUAAAGUUCCUAUUGUGAGUACCAGGGCUUAGCGGAAGUGGUUUGACCAGGUGUGUUAACCCCUCAAUAUCCACAUACAUAUGAAAGACUGAACCUGAUCAUAUUCUGUACAAUUGAGUGAAAAUAAGUGGAAGCUUCUUGUCAGACAAGGGUUAAAGAGGAAAUAAUCUCUUUUGCUGCAAACUUUUUCUCAGCAGGUGCAAAAUAGCUGCAAUCAGGUAGGCUUUGGUAAAUGGCAGCUGCUAUCUACCAAGUUUAAAGAUCACAAAUUCUCACCCCAUUUCUAUUUCAAUUACAUAGACACCAGUUUCAAUUUUUGAGUGUCUGAAGGCAUGCCUAACUCUGUGAUAAGAAAUGGGCCUGGACACAGACUGGGGGCCAAGUACAGAACUGUGCUAUGAAUCUUCCUUGAAGCAGCACUCGCUCUGACCAGUAGGGGUCCCUGGUCAUCAUUAUAGUGCCAUUAGACUUGAGACCCAGCUAGAUUCCUAAAACAUUCCAUUGUACAGAUGAGGAAAUUGAGGCCUAGAGAGGAUAAAAAUCUUACUCAUGUUUACAUGGGUCAUAGACCUAUCAAGGCACAGCCUCUGGACUUAAGCUGAUACCUGUUUUGUGCCACAGUGAUAAAUAUGCCAGGUCUCAUUGAUUAGUAUCACUACUGCCUGGAGCAUGGUAUUGAAAGGGUUCUGAAUUAGCAUCCUCACUGAGGGAAAAAAUGGUACUACAGUUGAUUAGUAAUGUCUGUCCAGAGAGAGUACGGGGGCAUGGUGUGCUGUGUAUUUGCUGAAUUUGGUUGAAUGAUGAAGGUUGACUGGUAAUCAAAUAAUUACCACAUAAUGUGAUUAUUACCACAUGAUUUAUUCUUAUGCUUCAGAAUAAAGUGCUCUAAAAUCUUUGUGGAGGGUUAGGGCUAUUGCAGAAGAGAUGGCCUUUGGAUUUGGUCUUAAAGAAUUAGUAGCAGUUUUCUGACAGAGAAAGGAAAGAAGACAUUCCAUGAAGGAAGGAUAGCUUGCGCAGGAGACCCAAUAUAUAGAGAAAGGAAGGAAAUUAAUGAUCAUUGAUUGCCUGUUACCCUGCUCAGUCCUAAGCUCGGUCCUUUAUUUAUCAUAUUAUUGAAUUUUCAUAAUGACUAUGAGUUUAUAGAUGAAAAGUAGAGACAAAGAAAAUUAAGAUGCCCUGGGUCGUAUAGCUACUAAGCAGAGCUGAAAUUUUAAUUACUGGGGCUCCAAAGUAACUUUAGUGGUAGGUACUCAGAGGCACAGUAUAGGUGAAGUAGAGAAGGUUGGGGGGGUGGAAAUUAUAAAUUGGGGUUUGGACUGUUCAAUUUGAGUUACCUCAGACAUCCAAAUAGAGGUAGCUAGUAGGCUAUUGGAAAUAUGGCAUUGACUGAUCUGGUUAUGAUUAAAAAAUAUAUCAAAGACUUACUGAUGACAGAUCGUGUGCAUGUACUUCUAGGCUUCUGCUUGACAGUGGAGAUCUUUCUGCCUCUGCUAUUUUAGCACAGAAGAUUAUGUGAUAAACUAAUAUGCUUUAUGUUUUAUGAGCGAUUCAAAUGACUGUCAAUGCAAUAUUAAAUCUAGAAUUGAUAGGGAAACUUUCUUACUUAGAAAUUCAAGUGUUCUUAGCACAAUACUGUUUAUUAUUAUCUUGAGACCUGAGCUCUGGCAAAAAUACUUGUGUUCAGCAAAAGACUGUUUAAUAUGUGUGUGUUCCUCCACCAAGGUUCGACUUCGAACUGCAAAAGGAUUCUUUAUAAAGAGAUGUUGGGAGGUGCAACAAUUGAUAUUUGUGCGUGGGGCUGGGAUGCCUUAUGCAUGUAUGUGCAAGAUAGUGUAACCAUUUUCAAAAAAAGAAGGUGCUUUUUGUUUUUUUAACUUGUGCAGUCCUGACAAGAAGAAAAGAAAAGAAAAGAAAAAA